GAAAUGCGAUAAGUAGUGUGAAUUGCAGAAUUCAGUGAAUCAUCGAAUCUUUGAACGCACAUUGCGCCCCUUGGUAUUCCAUGGGGCAUGCCUGUUCGAGCGUCAUUUGUACCCUCAAGCUCUGCUUGGUGUUGGGUGUUUGUCCCGUCUCCGCGCGUGGACUCGCCCCAAAGUGAUUGGCAGCCGGCGUACUGGUCCCGGAGCGCAGCACAUGUCGCGCAAACGAGUGCCUUGGUACGGCGGCGUCCAUAAGCCCCUCUCUCACGCUCUUGACCUCGGAUCAGGUAGGGAUACGCGCUGAACAUAAGC
rnacentral:misc_RNA from 1 species